rnacentral:rRNA from 1 species
AUUGAACGCUGGCGGCAGGCUUAACACAUGCAAGUCGAACGAGUGGCGGACGGGUGAGUAAUGCUUGGGAAUCUAGCUUAUGGAGGGGGAUAACUACGGGAAACUGUAGCUAAUACCGCGUACCAUAGGAUGAGCCCAAGUGGGAGUAGGUAGUUGGUGGGGAAAAGGCUCACCAAGCCGACGAUCUCUAGCUGGUCUGAGAGGAUGACCAGCAAAACGGGGACUGAGACACGGCCCAGACUCCAACGGGAGGCAGCAGUGGGGAAUAUUGCGCAAUGGGGGCAACCUGACGCAGCAAGGCCGCGUGAAUGAAGAAGGCCUUCGGGUUGGAAAGUUCUUUCGGUAGCGAGGCGUUAACUACAGAAGAAGCACCGGCUAACUCCGUGCCAGCAGCCGCGGUAAUAC